rnacentral:rRNA from 1 species
AACAGGAUUAGAUACCCUGGUAGUCCACGCCGUAAACGAUGUCAACUAGUUGUUCGUGUCAUUAAGACGUGAGUAACGCAGCUAACGCACUAAGUUGACCGCCUGGGGAGUACGGCCGCAAGGUUAAAACUCAAAUGAAUUGACGGGGGCCCGCACAAGCGGUGGAGCAUGUGGUUUAAUUCGAUGCAACGCGAAGAACCUUACCAUCCCUUGACAUCCAGUGAAUUUUUCAGAGAUGAAUUAGUGCCUUCGGGAACACUGAGACAGGUGCUGCAUGGCUGUCGUCAGCUCGUGUUGUGAGAUGUUGGGUUAAGUCCCGCAACGAGCGCAACCCUUAUCCUUAGUUGCCAGCACGUAAAGGUGGGAACUCUGGGGAGACUGCCGGUGAUAAACCGGAGGAAGGUGGGGACGACGUCAAGUCAUCAUGGCCCUUACGGGAUGGGCUACACACGUGCUACAAUGGCGCAUACAAAGGGCAGCAAGCCAGCGAUGGUUAGCGAAUCUCAUAAAGUGCGUCGUAGUCCGGAUCGGAGUCUGCAACUCGACUCCGUGAAGUCGGAAUCGCUAGUAAUCGUGGAUCAGAAUGCCACGGUGAAUACGUUCCCGGGCCUUGUACACACCGCCCGUCACACCAUGGGAGUGGGCUGCACCAGAAGUGGUUAGUUUAACCUUCGGGAGAACGAUCACCACGGUGUGGUUCAUGACUGGGGUGAAGUCGUAACAAGGUAACC